UUUUUUUUUUAUCAACAAAAUAGUAAAAUUGAGUUAUUUCCUUAUAUUUGUUGAGUGUCGGUUAAUGAGGCGGGUUAUAAAUAGAGGUGGUGCAACGAGGUGAUUAAAGCUAUUACUUGUUUCUUUCUUUUUUUCUUCCCGAAAAAGCAACGAACAAAACGUGAGAGAGAGAGAGAGAGAGAGCAAUGAACACUUGUCGAAUAGUUCUCCAACGCAGGUUCCUUCCCGUGAGCAACUCCAAGAAGGAAAAAUUUGACAGAUUCAUACCGAACAGAGCAGCCAUGGAUUUCGACUAUGCUCACUUGGCUCUUAUGGAAGAAAGAGAAGAAGAAGAAGAGGUCAGUUCAUCCAGAAAAGCUUAUAGAAAGCAAUUGGCUGAGACUAUGGGUCUUAACCGAACUCGAAUCCUCGCAUUCACCAACAAACCACCUUCUUCUACUUCUCUUCACCAUCAGCAUCAGCAUCAGCAUGAGCCUCCUCGACGCAUUCCUCAGCGUCCCGAGAGAACUUUGGAUGCUCCUGGCCUUGUGGAUGACUUCUAUCUCAACGUUCUCGACUGGAGCAGUGCUAAUGUCCUAGCCGUUGCCUUGGCCAACUCUGUUUGUCUCUGGGAUGCUUCCACUGGCUCCGUGACUACGCUUGUCACGUAUGGUGAAGACCAAGGACCUGUCACAAGUCUAAACUGGGCGCAUGAUGGUAUCAACCUUGGAGUUGGGCUCAACAAUGGUCAAGUUCACAUUUGGGACUGUGUAACCAAGACUCUACUGAGAACAUUGCAAGGCUUCCACCACACACGAGUUGGGUCCUUGGCCUGGAACACUCAUAUAUUGACAACCGGAGGAAUGGACGGACGUAUCUUCAACAACGAUGUGCGGUUCAUGUCAUACCCUGUGUCUACUUACAAGGGUCACACUCAAGAGGUCUGUGGGCUCAAGUGGUCAGCAUCUGGUCAGCAACUAGCUAGCGGCGGAAACGACCGUCUAGUACAUAUAUGGGAUCGUUCUACUAGUACGCAGUGGCUGCACAGGCUCAGGGGGCAUACAUCUGCAGUUAAGGCUCUCGCUUGGUGUCCUUUCCAAAGCGAUUUGCUUGCAUCUGGCGGUGGUGCAGAAGAUAGGAAGAUCAAGUUCUGGAACACUCGCACAGGGGCUUGCUUGAAUUCGCUUGACACUGCUUCCCAAGUCUCUUCUCUCUUGUGGAGCAACAAUCAAAGAGAGCUGCUUUGCUCACAUGGGUCUCAGCUCACACUGUGGAAGUACCCGUCGAUGGUGAAAAUGGCUGAGCUCUCUGGUCAUACGUCAAGAGUUCUAUCUAUGACCCAGAGUCCAGAUGGUUGUACUGUAGUUUCAGCUGCAGGAGACGAGAAUCUGUGCUUUUGGAAUGUUUUUGGACUACCUCACACCACCGCCAAAAAAACUGUUCCAAAAGCAGCUCAUGAGCCGUUUUCUCAUGUCGCUCGUAUUCGUUGAAAACUCAACUACCCGAGGUUGACAAUGAAAAGAUAGAGUGCGAGGCUUCUGCAUAUCAGAAGAAACUUUUAAUGAAGAGGGUUGAGGAUUCGCUUGGAAACAUGAAGUCGCGUGCAGUGCACAACUCAGUGAUGGAGCUUCGGAAUAUAUAUCACAAUCAUCCAUAUCUCAGCCAACUUCAUACAGACGAGGGUCUGCGUAAAUCACUCUCUCUCUCUCUGGUCAAUAGCUGAGCAUUAUCUGCCUCCGGUAAUAAGACUUGUGUGGGAAGCUUGAGAUGUUGGACCCGCUCUUACCCAUUAUCUUCCUGAGCAUUAUGCUGCGCCAGUGUUGCCUUAAAUGAUAUUAUAUCCCCAAGGAUAAUCAUUGCUUGUAGAAUAUAUUACCUGUGCAUAUAUAUAU